AUUGAACGCUGGCGGCUUGCUUUACACAUGCAAGUCGAACGGUAACAGGCCUUCGGGUGCUGACGAGUGGCGAACGGGUGAGUAAUGCAUCGGAACGUACCCAGAGGUGGGGGAUAACGCAGCGAAAGCUGUGCUAAUACCGCAUGUGAUCUGAGGAUGAAAGCGGGGGACCGAGCAGCAAUGUUUGGCCUCGCGCCUUUGGAGCGGCCGAUGUCGGAUUAGCUAGUUGGUGGGGUAAAGGCCUACCAAGGCGAUGAUCCGUAGCUGGUCUGAGAGGACGACCAGCCACACUGGGACUGAGACACGGCCCAGACUCCUACGGGAGGCAGCAGUGGGGAAUUUUGGACAAUGGGCGCAAGCCUGAUCCAGCAAUGCCGCGUGCGGGAAGAAGGCCUUCGGGUUGUAAACCGCUUUUGGCAGGAACGAAACGGUGUCCGCUAAUACCGGGCGCUAAUGACGGUACCUGCAGAAUAAGCACCGGCUAACUACGUG
rnacentral:rRNA from 1 species